GACGAACGCUGGCGGCGUGCUUAACACAUGCAAGUCGAACGAUGAAGCUGGAGCUUGCUCCGGUGGAUUAGUGGCGAACGGGUGAGUAAAACGUGAGCAAUCUGCCCUUGACUCUGGGAUAACUGCGGGAAACUGUAGCUAAUACCGGAUACGAGGCGCGAAGGCAUCUUCGGGUCUGGAAAGAAUUUCGGUCAAGGAUGAGCUCGCGGCCUAUCAGCUUGUUGGGGAGGUAAUGGCUCACCAAGGCGACGACGGGUAGCCGGCCUGAGAGGGUGACCGGCCACACUGGGACUGAGACACGGCCCAGACUCCUACGGGAGGCAGCAGUGGGGAAUAUUGCACAAUGGGCGAAAGCCUGAUGCAGCAACGCCGCGUGAGGGAUGAAGGCCUUCGGGUUGUAAACCUCUUUUAGCAGGGAAGAAGCGAAAGUGACGGUACCUGCAGAAAAAGCACCGGCUAACUACGUGCCAGCCGCCGCCGUAA
rnacentral:rRNA from 1 species